AGUUAAGUCCAGUCACGAAAUCCAAGUUAAGGCAACGGAACAAUCAAUGAAGAUUUUGCAACCCAUUGGCGCCUUGCGCUUCCUGGAACUAAAAUAAAUGCAGGAAAUCGAAACUUAAUUACUUGAAAGAAAUCCAGAAAUCCCUCUGCAUAAUGUAUCCAGUCAUUUUUGGUGGCGUUUGUGUUCGAUGCAGUGUUUGUUAACGCUAUACUUUUCACUAAGGUCUGGCUCCCUUCCGGGGGACUCCUUGGGGACUGCUGUACCCCACACGGGCCAGGAGUUUUGCUUUAGCACUAGGCUCCCUCUUCUUCCACCGUGCACAGCUGAAGUAAUAACGUUUCUUUUCAGAAGUCCUCAACUGUAACGGUACAAGAACCCUUGGCUCUGACGGCUCUGUGCCAUCCCCCACACUAUUGUUUGUCCAUGGACUAUGCAUGUCUCUAUUAUAAAAACUCCAUGGCUGUGACACCAUCAUGCCAUCACAACCAAAUGCCAAAAGGCACCUGCUGAACAUCAUAUGAUUUCUUCAUGGAAACAAGAGCAAUGGAUAGAAAACCACCAGGCAGAGAAUCCAAGAUGGCAGCAGAGCUGGUGGAAGCUAUGCUCACCUCCUCCCAGGACCAAACUGAAAUUACAGCUAAAAUAUAAAGCAAGCAACCUGAAUAACCAACUGAUGACUAGCUGAAGAAAAGGAUUUAUAGAAGAAGCCACCUCGAGAUUGGUAGGAAGGGCAGAGAUGUGAAAAGAGUUGGCCCAGCUGAGAUUUUGGAAUGAUACUUCAGCUGCAAAAGUUUCUUCUGAGGAGCACCAGGGCCAGGAAGGGGUGCCCACAUAACAUCUGGCUGUGAAAAGCAGCGAGGUUUCUACCUCACAAGGUAAGAUUUGGACAAUGUGAGAGAUCUAGCAAAGAGAGAAAGCAUAUAUGUAAAGAUCAUGUUCUAGGACCAGUAAGGAGGCCAGUGUGGCUGUUGCAGAGAGAACAAGGAAAAGAGUAGAAGGUGAACAAGGUGGUGAAGGCUGCUAGGGUGACUUUGGGAGGAAUAUCAGAAACCCACUUUUGAAUAUGUUUAGAUCAAAAUGCCUAUUAUACAUGUAUCCAAUUAGAAUGUCAAGUAACAGUCAGAUAUGUGAUUCCAAAUGAGAGAGCUUUGGACAUUAAAUCCAGACUGGUAUAAACUGUUUUUGUGUGGGCCUUUUAUCAUUGUUUGCA